AGAGUUUGAUCAUGGCUCAGGACGAACGCUGGCGGCGUGCCUAAUACAUGCAAGUCGUGCGGGGUCUUGAAGGGCUUGCCCUUUAAGACCCAGCGGCGAACGGGUGAGUAACACGUGGGUAACCUGCCCGCAAGACCGGGAUAACUUCGGGAAACCGGGGCUAAUACCGGAUAGGACCCCGGAUCGCAUGAUCCGAGGUGGAGAGGCGGCGUCAAGCUGCCACUUGCGGAUGGGCCCGCGGCGCAUUAGCUGGUUGGUGAGGUAACGGCUCACCAAGGCGACGAUGCGUAGCCGACCUGAGAGGGUGAUCGGCCACACUGGGACUGAGACACGGCCCAGACUCCUACGGGAGGCAGCAGUAGGGAAUCUUCCGCAAUGGGCGCAAGCCUGACGGAGCAACGCCGCGUGAGCGAGGACGGCCUUCGGGUUGUAAAGCUCUGUUCUUCGGGAAGAAGGGCGGGAGGGCGAACAACUCUUCCGCUUGACGGUACCGAAGGAGAAAGCCCCGGCUAACUACGUGCCAGCAGCCGCGGUAAUACGUAGGGGGCGAGCGUUGUCCGGAAUUAUUGGGCGUAAAGCGCGCGUAGGCGGCCGGUUAAGUCCUGUGUGAAAGACCACGGCUCAACCGUGGGGGUGCACGGGAAACUGGCCGGCUUGAGUGCAGGAGAGGGGAGCGGAAUUCCCGGU
rnacentral:rRNA from 1 species